AACGAACGCUGGCGGCAGGCCUAACACAUGCAAGUCGAACGCCGUAGCAAUACGGAGUGGCAGACGGGUGAGUAACGCGUGGGAACCUACCUUACGGUCGGGAAUAGCUCAGGGAAACUUGAGGUAAUACCGGAUACGCCCUUACGGGGAAAGAUUUAUCGCCGUUAGAUGGGCCCGCGUCGGAUUAGCUAAUUGGUGAGGUAACGGCUCACCAAGGCGACGAUCCGUAGCUGGUCUGAGAGGAUGAUCAGCCACACUGGGACUGAGACACGGCCCAGACUCCUACGGGAGGCAGCAGUGGGGAAUAUUGGACAAUGGGCGCAAGCCUGAUCCAGCCAUGCCGCGUGAGUGACGAAGGCC
rnacentral:rRNA from 1 species